rnacentral:tRNA from 1 species
AAACAGGUAAACACUAAUAAUUUGCCGAGUUCCUUAACUCAAUUCACUUUUUU